GACGAACCGUGCGAACGUUGUUCGGAAUCACUGGGCUUAAAGGGCGCGUAGGCGGGUCGUCAAGUCGGGGGUGAAAUCUUUCGGCCCAACCGGAAAAGGGCCCCCGAUACUGGCGGCCUCGAGGGGGGUAGGGGCAUGUGGAACUUCCGGUGGAGCGGUGAAAUGCGUAGAUAUCGGAAGGAACGCCGGUGGCGAAAGCGACGUGCUGGACCCCUUCUGACGCUGAGGCGCGAAAGCCAGGGGAGCGAACGGG
rnacentral:rRNA from 1 species